UACCAGCACCCCGAGUGGUCGGGACGUUUAUUGGGCCUAAAGCAUCCGUAGCCGGUUCUACAAGUCUUCCGUUAAAUCCAACUGCUUAACAGGUGGGCUGCGGAAGAUACUAUAGAGCUAGGAGGCGGGAGAGGCAAGCGGUACUCGAUGGGUAGGGGUAAAAUCCGUUGAUCCAUUGAAGACCACCAGUGGCGAAGGCGGCAUCCUGGACUGGUCCUGACACUCAGGAGCGAAAGCGUGGGGAGCGAUCCGG
rnacentral:rRNA from 1 species